GACGAACGCUGGCGGCGUGCUUAACACAUGCAAGUCGAACGGUGAACGAGGGAGCUUGCUCCCUCCGGAUCAGUGGCGAACGGGUGAGUAACACGUGAGCAAUCUGCCCCGAACUCUGGGAUAAGCGUUGGAAACGACGUCUAAUACCGGAUACGACGCGGGAGGGCAUCCUCUCCGCGUGGAAAGAACUUCGGUUCGGGAUGAGCUCGCGGCCUAUCCGCUUGUUGGUGAGGUAACGGCUCACCAAGGCGACGACGGGUAGCCGGCCUGAGAGGGUGACCGGCCACACUGGGACUGAGACACGGCCCAGACUCCUACGGGAGGCAGCAGUGGGGAAUAUUGCACAAUGGGCGCAAGCCUGAUGCAGCAACGCCGCGUGAGGGACGACGGCCUUCGGGUUGUAAACCUCUUUUAGCAGGGAAGAAGCGAAAGUGACGGUACCUGAAGAAAAAGCACCGGCUAACUACGUG
rnacentral:rRNA from 1 species